rnacentral:lncRNA from 1 species
GUUUGGGUGAUGGGGAAUUUGAAUUUCAAGGCUUUGGACUUUACCCUAAAUGAAUUCGAGCUAUUUGAGGUUUAUAAGCAGGUAAUGAUGUACACACAACUUUGAACUAGGGAGACUAUUCUGAGAGGUGUGUGUAGGGUGGAUGCCAUAGGAGGAACACAUAUCAGAAUGGGCUUGUCAUAGUCUGGGCCCAUAUGUCCCAGAGUGUCCUUGGAAUACCUAUCCUACAAACUGAACCUCAAGAAAGAG